rnacentral:misc_RNA from 1 species
GUAACAAGGUUUCCGUAGGUGAACCUGCGGAAGGAUCAUUACUGAUUUGCUUAAUUGCACCACAUGUGUUUUUCUUUGAAACAAACUUGCUUUGGCGGUGGGCCCAGCCUGCCGCCAGAGGUCUAAACUUACAACCAAUUUUUUAUCAACUUGUCACACCAGAUUAUUACUAAUAGUCAAAACUUUCAACAACGGAUCUCUUGGUUCUCGCAUCGAUGAAGAACGCAGCGAAAUGCGAUACGUAAUAUGAAUUGCAGAUAUUCGUGAAUCAUCGAAUCUUUGAACGCACAUUGCGCCCUCUGGUAUUCCGGAGGGCAUGCCUGUUUGAGCGUCGUUUCUCCCUCAAACCGCUGGGUUUGGUGUUGAGCAAUACGACUUGGGUUUGCUUGAAAGACGGUAGUGGUAAGGCGGGAUCGCUUUGACAAUGGCUUAGGUCUAACCAAAAACAUUGCUUGCGGCGGUAACGUCUACCACGUAUAUCUUCAAACUUUGACCUCAAAUCAGGUAGGACUACCCGCUGAACUUAAGCAUAUC